GACAGAGGGUGCAAACGUUGUUCGGAAUUACUGGGCGUAAAGCGCGUGUAGGCGGCUCGGCAAGUCGGGUGUGAAAGCCCUGGGCUCAACCUAGGAAGUGCAUUCGAAACUGCUGAGCUUGAGUUCUGGAGAGGAAGGCGGAAUUCUCGGUGUAGAGGUGAAAUUCGUAGAUAUCGAGAGGAACACCGGUGGCGAAGGCGGCCUUCUGGACAGCAACUGACGCUGAGACGCGAAAGCGUGGGGAGCAAACAGG
rnacentral:rRNA from 1 species